AGGGCUGCGGUAAUUUGACCGUGCGAAGGUAGCAUAAUCAUUAGUCUUUUAAUUGGAGGCUUGUAUGAAUGGUUGGAUGAGGGACAUUCUGUCUUUUUUUAAAGUGUGAAUUUAACUUUUAAGUGAAAAGGCUUAAAUUUUCUAGGGGGACGAUAAGACCCUAUAAAACUUUAUAUAGUUUGUGUUUAGUUUACUAAUUAAGUUUAAAGUUGGUUUAUAUGGAUUAUAUUUCGUUGGGGAGAUGUUUAUAUAAUUUGUAACUGUUUUUAAAAUUAAAUAAUUAUAAUUAGUUAAUGAUCCUUUAUUAGAGAUUUAAAGAUUAAGUUACUUUAGGGAUAACAGCGUAAUUUUCUCUGAGAGUUCUUAUCGACGAGAGUAGUUGCGACCUCGAUGUUGAAUUAAAAUUUCAGAUUGGUGUASCCGCUUUUCUGGUGGGUCUGUUCGACCUUUAAAAUUUU
rnacentral:rRNA from 1 species